AGCGGCGGACGGGUGAGUAACGCGUGGGUAACCUGCCUCAUACAGGGGGAUAACAGUUAGAAAUGACUGCUAAUACCGCAUAAGACCACGGAGCCGCAUGGCUCAGUGGGAAAAACUCCGGUGGUAUGAGAUGGACCCGCGUCUGAUUAGGUAGUUGGUGGGGUAACGGCCUACCAAGCCAACGAUCAGUAGCCGACCUGAGAGGGUGACCGGCCACAUUGGGACUGAGACACGGCCCAA
rnacentral:rRNA from 1 species